CUAUCCUCAAGUGUGCAUCACUUCUCCUGUUCUGCCAAGACUUCUUCCUUUUUUGUUUGCAUUUAAUGGAUACAGUCUUAGAAACAUUACAGAAUAAAAACCCAGACGUCUUCAACCCUUUGGUGAUUAAAUGCACAUUAGCAAAUCUAUGUCUUGUCCUGAUUCACUGUUGUAAAGCAUGAGCAGAGGCUAGAAGUACCAUCUGGAUUGUUGCGAAACAUUUAAAAGCAGUGGCGCCUCUCUGCUUUUAUUCAUUUCCCCCAUCAUGGUUUAAGUAUAAAGCACUGUGAAUGAAGGUAGUUGUCAGGGUUAGCUGCAGGGGUGUGGGUGUUUUUCUUUAUUUUAUUAUUAUUAUUUUUUUUUGGUGGGGGGAAGGUAGUUUUAUUUUAAUUUUAUGGGCUCCUUUCCCCCUUUUUAUGGUGAUCUAAUUGCAUUGGUUAAAAGCAGCUAACCAGUUCUUUAGAAUAUGCUCUCUAGCCAAGUCUAACUUUAUUUAGACGCUGUAGAUGGACAAGCUUGAUUGUUUGAGCCAAAAUGGGAACAUUAAACAGACAUCACAGCCCUCACUAAUAACAUUGUGACCUUGCUGUCAAGUGUAGAAUCCUCCCUUCAAGAAAAAGCUUGUGACCAUUUUGUAUGGCUUGUCUGGAAACUUCUGUAAAUCUUAUGUUUUAGUAAAAUAUUUUUUGUUAUUCUACAAAAAAAUAAAAAUAAAAAAAAUAAAACUGCAAGCCUGCUAUUUUCACAGUAGCCUGGCAAUUUAGAUAUUAGCCCCAUUUUGCAGAUGAAAAAACUAAUAUUCUUACAACUACUUACUUGCUGAAAUCUCACAGAUAGUAAGUAGUAGAACCAGUGUUUAAAGCCAAGUUGGUACGUGUUUGUGACCUGUGGUCACUCCAGUUGCUCUUUCAGGAUGCCAGCUGAAGAUGUUAAUGGUUCUGGUAACAUGAACAGCUCAACUCUUCUCAGCCUGUGCUCUGCUCUUCCUCUUUCAGCCAGGGUGGUGAUGUUAUCAGACCUGCUAGCAGGGACCCGGUGUCUUGGCAGCAUUCUUUCUCAUCCAGUUUUAGUCCUCCAUUUUUCCUUGACCACCCUCUUUUUCCUCUCCUAGUUUUACUUCCACUUUCACGUCCUUCUGGAAUUAGAGUAUUUCCUGACUUUCCCUCUGCUGCCAAGAGUCAAAAUUACUUUUAAUUUCAGUUAACUGCUUAGAUGUUGAGGGGCACUUGGUUGAAUGAAUCUGAAGUGGAGAUUGCCCAUUAUAAAUGCAGUUGCCUUUAAAAAUAAAAUGCUGUAUAAGUGAAGCCAAAGGUUACUCUUUACAGAUUGUUGCUGCAAAAGCAAAUAGGCCCUUGUCAUUCAUAACGAAGGUUAAAAUGCUCUGAAAUUUGGGAUCAGCUGAUGCUGCUCUUUCAGAGCAGAGCAACCAUCAGGCCCUGCACAGAGAGAUGUCUUGGUGUUUUUCUUCAGGUCUUCUACAAAUGAUCAUCCCUUGACUCCAGGGGCAUAUAGAUUUUAUUAUAAGGCCUUCUAGGUUGUAUAUUACAGCAUUGAACUAUCAUCUAUAGCAUCCAUUAGAAUGGUAUUGACAAAAUGUCCACUCGUAUUGAACUAAGCACUCAGUAAACCGCUAUAAGUAAA